CAACAAUCAGAACUAUAUCACUAAAGCCUGGUUGAUUACAUUUAAACAGCUUUGUGUGUUUCAAACAAAAAUGGCAAUCAAAGGUUCGGGUGGAAAAACAGUAUGUGUAACCACUGAUAACGGCAAAACAUGGAUUGACCUAGUCACAUUUUCAAAAAGAAAUAAAGAUUCCGACGAGUAUCUGUUUUUUGAACGUCAGCUGAAAUUGUUCGGUUACCUUGCAAAAGGGCAGAAUGAAAACUCCAUUUCUGUUAUCA